rnacentral:lncRNA from 1 species
GCCGACUUUUUUUGUUUGUUUGUUUGUUUUUUUUUUGAAGACUUUAUAGAAAGUGGAACGUCUAAAGGCACUGCACAAUGGAGUAUUUAAAGACUACUUUACAUUGUUAUGUACAUAUUACACACACACCGUCCUGCUCGCCCUGCGCGAACCGCUCGAGCUCACCACGUCCCCACGUAUGUGUAUGCAUCCUUCCUAAUCCCUGCUGAAUCGAGUCUAGUAAAGAACAUGCCUCAGGAGAAGUGAUUCUUACCAAUAAAAAGAAGCUUUCUAUGGGUAAAAUGUUAAUUAUAAGCAUCCUUGCCCCCCCCCCCCACCUUGGGGGAGGAGGGGGGGCUGCCCUGGGCACCGGCCUCGCACCGCGGGUGGCACCGCCCCGCUCCAUGGUCCGUUGUCCUGAGAAGCUGAGUCCUUAUCCCUGAUGGCGGAGCUCCCUGUUUGCAGUGCAAUGGCUAUGAAGAACCCCCGGCCCAGGCCUGGAACCGAUGACGAACUUUUAAAGCCAAACGACAGUCCAUCUUUGUGGGUAUUAUUAUUAUU